CUAGUUUAUUAAAUUCAUGGUAUGCAUCAGUUGAAAUAGCAAUGGUGUUUUAGAAAUAAGCAUUAGUUAUAGUUAUCUUGUCAAAAAGUUAGCAACAUUAUAUAUACUUAAGCUGAAUUCUUUGUCAUUGUUCAUGGGAACAGUGCCAAUGCCAAUGUUAAACUUAUUCAAUAUUUACAUAAAAAAGACAAUAUUAAUUAUCAUAAAAUUCACACAUAUAUAAUGCAUUAUGCAAUCAUUUUUACUUAUAUAUAACAAAACUCAAUUUGAGUUACUUUUCUAAUAAUAAUAUUUUAAAAAUUUGUUAGGUGUUUUAUUUUACAUAUGAAUUUACCAUCCAGUGACUAGAUUUUAAUUUAAUUCCUUCUUUACUUUGUUAACAGCUCCAAAUGGAUUCUUUUAGUGGG
rnacentral:misc_RNA from 1 species